rnacentral:tRNA from 1 species
ACAUCUGUUGCUUAAUUGGAUAGAGCGUUAGAUUACGAAUCUAAAGGUUGAAAGUUCGAGUCUUUCCAGAUGUA